AUUGAACGCUGGCGGAAUGCUUUACACAUGCAAGUCGAACGGCAGCACGGGGCAACCUGGUGGCGAGUGGCGAACGGGUGAGUAAUAUAUCGGAACGUGCCCAAUCGUGGGGGAUAACGUAGCGAAAGUUACGCUAAUACCGCAUACGAUCUACGGAUGAAAGCGGGGGAUCGCAAGACCUCGCGCGAAUGGAGCGGCCGAUAUCAGAUUAGGUAGUAGGUGGGGUAAAGGCUCACCAAGCCAACGAUCUGUAGCUGGUCUGAGAGGACGACCAGCCACACUGGAACUGAGACACGGUCCAGACUCCUACGGGAGGCAGCAGUGGGGAAUUUUGGACAAUGGGGGCAACCCUGAUCCAGCCAUGCCGCGUGAGUGAAGAAGGCCUGGUUGUAAGACUCUUCGGUCCGGGAACGGAAAGUACGCAU
rnacentral:rRNA from 1 species